rnacentral:rRNA from 1 species
CCCUUAGAUGUCCUGGGCCGCACGCGCGCUGCACUGACAUGUUCAACAAGCCUCCUAGUUCGACAGGAUUUGGGAAAUCUUUGAACGCAUGUCGUGAUAGGGAUAGAUCAUUGCAAUUAUUGAUCUUGAACGAGGAAUUCCUAGUAAACGCGAGUCAUCAGCUCGCAUUGAUUACGUCCCUGCCCUUUGUACACACCGCCCGUCGCACCUACCGAUUGAAUGUUUCGGUGAAGAUUCCGGAUAGGACUUUUUUGAUUUAUUUCAAUUUUGUCUUAAAAGCUAUCUAAACCUCAACAUUUAGAGGAAGGUGAAGUCGUAACA